rnacentral:rRNA from 1 species
UACAGAGGUCCCAAGCGUUGUUCGGAUUCACUGGGCGUAAAGGGUGCGUAGGUGGUCGGGUAAGUCUGAUGUGAAAUCUCCAAGCUUAACUUGGAAAUGGCAUUGGAUACUAUUCGGCUAGAGGGUUUGAGGGGGGACUGGAAUACUUGGUGUAGCAGUGAAAUGCGUAGAUAUCAAGUGGAACACCAGUGGCGAAGGCGAGUCCCUGGAAAACUCCUGACACUGAGGAGCGAAAGCGUGGGGAGCGAACAGG